rnacentral:misc_RNA from 1 species
CCACUACAUCGGCGGCAUCAUCAAGCACGCCAAGGCCAUCAACGCCUUCACCAAUCCGUCGACCAACUCCUACAAGCGUCUGGUCCCGGGCUAUGAAGCGCCGGUGCUGCUCGCCUACUCGGCGCGCAACCGUUCGGCAUCCUGCCGCAUCCCUUACACGACGUCGCCAAAGGCGAAGCGCGUCGAGGUGCGUUUCCCCGAUCC